GCCAGUUUGGUGUAGUGGUUUGAGCACUGGACUAUGAUUCUGACCAGGGUUCGAUUCUCAGCUCAGCCA